rnacentral:rRNA from 1 species
UACGAAGGGGGCUAGCGUUGCUCGGAAUCACUGGGCGUAAAGGGUGCGUAGGCGGGUCUUUAAGUCAGGGGUGAAAUCCUGGAGCUCAACUCCAGAACUGCCUUUGAUACUGAAGAUCUUGAGUUGGGGAGAGGUGAGUGGAACUGCGAGUGUAGAGGUGAAAUUCGUAGAUAUUCGCAAGAACACCAGUGGCGAAGGCGGCUCACUGGCCCGAUACUGACGCUGAGGCACGAAAGCGUGGGGAGCAAACAGG